rnacentral:rRNA from 1 species
CCUACGGGUGGCAGCAGUGGGGAAUAUUGGACAAUGGGGGGAACCCUGAUCCAGCCAUGCCGCGUGUGUGAUGAAGGCCCUCGGGUUGUAAAGCACUUUCAGUGAGGAAGAACGCCUGGUGGUUAAUACCCAUCAGGAAAGACAUCACUCACAGAAGAAGCACCGGCUAACUCCGUGCCAGCAGCCGCGGUAAUACGGAGGGUGCGAGCGUUAAUCGGAAUUACUGGGCGUAAAGCGCGCGUAGGUGGCUUGAUAAGCCGGUUGUGAAAGCCCCGGGCUCAACCUGGGAACGGCAUCCGGAACUGUCAAGCUAGAGUGCAGGAGAGGAAGGUAGAAUUCCCGGUGUAGCGGUGAAAUGCGUAGAGAUCGGGAGGAAUACCAGUGGCGAAGGCGGCCUUCUGGACUGACACUGACACUGAGGUGCGAAAGCGUGGGUAGCAAACAGGAUUAGAUACCCGAGUAGUC